AUUGAACGCUGGCGGAAUGCUUUACACAUGCAAGUCGAGCGGCAGCGCGGGGCAACCUGGUGGCGAGCGGCGAACGGGUGAGUAAUACAUCGGAACGUGCCCAGACGUGGGGGAUAACUACUCGAAAGAGUGGCUAAUACCGCAUACGAUCUAAGGAUGAAAGCGGGGGAUCGCAAGACCUCGCGCGUUUGGAGCGGCCGAUGGCAGACUAGGUAGUUGGUGGGGUAAAGGCUUACCAAGCCCGCGAUCUGUAGCUGGUCUGAGAGGAUGAUCAGCCACACUGGGACUGAGACACGGCCCAGACUCCUACGGGAGGCAGCAGUGGGGAAUUUUGGACAAUGGGCGAAAGCCUGAUCCAGCCAUUCCGCGUGCAGGAUGAAGGCCCUCGGGUUGUAAAGGACUUUUGUCAGGGAGCAAAACUUACUGGUUAAUACCCGGUGAGGCUGAGAGUACCUGAAGAAUAAGCACCGGCUAAACUACGUGCCAGCAGCCGCGGUAAU
rnacentral:rRNA from 1 species